UGGUUUAGUCAUUAAAAUUUUGGUCUGUGAAACCAAAGCUUAUGGGUUCAAUCCCCAGU
rnacentral:tRNA from 1 species